CUAAGUUCCCAAUUGGAUUUCUCCUUCGUCGCACUCUGCUGUCGUCUUCCAUGGUGGCGGCGUCGUCCGUCGCUGGAAGCUCGUCGUCCCUCUGCGUUGCCUACGGGUGCUAUGUUCUGCUCCGCUCAUCCGCCUUGCCUAUUGCAUCUCCUCGUCCCGCCUUGCCUCACCGCGCCUCGGGUGCCUUGUCUCGAGUUGUCGCUCCUCGACUCCGUUUUGCUGUCUGGACUGGUUCUACAACAACAGGUGAUGAUUAAAUUUUGUUUUAGUUUUUCAACUGUUGGAUCGGAGGAGAUGAAGGGACCAUGUGGCAUGUGGGAAGAAAACCAGUCAGAUGGCUUUCAUUUGUUUGAAUUGCAAAGAUCGGGAGUAGAAUGAACAUGUGGGUUUCUGUCAGCGUUAGGUAAUAAUUCUUCUCAAUAAUGUCUUCCUCCCACUACACUAAGAACGGGAGAAAUGUUAUGCUUAAAACAACUAGUAGUCAAACGGCAUCCUCUCCGAUUCUAAUGCUUCAGAGGCAUACAAACUCUCAGAGAUCGUGGUCUCUAUCCUGCUGCCUAGGUCGUGAGAUAUGAAACUCAUCUUUGGGAUAAUAGCUACAGAAGGGGACAUCCACUACUACCAACUUUCCUAUCAGCAACUAUGAAAAGGAAUUGGAUGAAAUGAAACACAUGACAGGACAAGAAUUUGUAGCCGCCAUAAAUGUAGUGUGUUACACUAUUAUCCCCUGCAUUAUGGUUGUGGAUACAUUGGUUGGGUAGUAUUUUUGUGAAAGCAUUUGCUAUAUGUGAACGGUAAAUAUUGCCAUUGGUGGAUCCAGACAAAAAUAGAUUGCAUUAUUGAAUUCUGCAUGUGUUGCUAGAACAUGGUUAUGAUUUAUGAAUUUAAAAAUAUUCAUUUAAUUUAAGAAUAUUUCUGACCCAAAGUGUAUCGGGUCAUGGCAUAAGUCUUAUUUUACCAUUUUUGUGUGCUGUAAGAAUUUAUAGAAAAUUUUGUGUUUAAAUAAUUUGGAAUUGCAGCCAUUAUCCCUGCUUGUGUCAGUUCUUCAAACUUCAGUAAUUUAUGAUGAUGCAAAGGAUGAGGGAUAAUAUAGAUAUAGGCUAAUUAUGUAUAUUCCUGGGUUGUUUAUGUGCAGCAUGCCCAGUAUGUUACCUUCUUGUGAAAGAAGCUAUUGAACUUAUGCCAAAAUCACCCACACCUUCACCAGUUCUUAAGAAUUUAACUUAUAUCUAUGAGAAAAAUAUAAGUAGAUUUGGAGAAUUCGGUGGCUCAGACUUUGGUGGAUAUUCUACUUUGAAGCAAAGGAAUGAGUCUUUUGAUAUACAAGAAUUAAUGAGUAUGCACUGCAGGUAUGUUUUUACCCUUUGUUUAAUAUCCCUGACUUAUAUCUAUAGCACUCAGGAAUGUUCUUUUUGGUUAUAAUAACUAAACUUUUAUUUACUGCAACUAUGUUUAAAUUAAACUAAUAUAAUUCAGGCAAUUUUGUUUUCUGAACUUCU